rnacentral:rRNA from 1 species
UAGGAUCUCGUACGUGACCUGCGGAGGGAUCAUUACACAAAUAUGAAGGCGGGCUGGAACCUCUCGGGGUUACAGCCUUGCUGAAUUAUUCACCCUUGUCUUUUGCGUACUUCUUGUUUCCUUGGUGGGUUCGCCCACCACUAGGACAAACAUAAACCUUUUGUAAUUGCAAUCAGCGUCAGUAACAAAUUAAUAAUUACAACUUUCAACAACGGAUCUCUUGGUUCUGGCAUCGAUGAAGAACGCAGCGAAAUGCGAUAAGUAGUGUGAAUUGCAGAAUUCAGUGAAUCAUCGAAUCUUUGAACGCACAUUGCGCCCUUUGGUAUUCCAAAGGGCAUGCCUGUUCGAGCGUCAUUUGUACCCUCAAGCUUUGCUUGGUGUUGGGCGUCUUGUCUCUAGCUUUGCUGGAGACUCGCCUUAAAGUAAUUGGCAGCCGGCCUACUGGUUUCGGAGCGCAGCACAAGUCGCACUCUCUAUCAGCAAAGGUCUAGCAUCCAUUAAGCCUUUUUUUCAACUUUUGACCUCGGAUCAGGUAGGGAUACCCGCUGAACUUAA